UUUUUAUUUUUUGUUUUUUUUUUUGCAACUUCUGAAUUCUUGUCAUUUUAAUUUUUUACCCACUACUAUUUCAGGAAGUAUAUACUCUAUUUCUAAUAUAUUAGUGGUUACUUUUUAUAUUUCCAUUUACUGUAUCAAAGAUGAAAAUUAUUGAAUGUUUAUCCUUUUCUCAAACAACACCAAGAUUCUAGAAUACUUUAAUUAUUUUUUCUGUUUGCAUUAUUUAAUCUAAAUAUUUGAGUGGCAGACAUUUGAUUUUAUUCCACAAUACUGAAAUAUAGGCAUAAAGACAAAAUAAAAACAACCAUCCUCGGAAUAAGUGAAUCAGUAGAAUAAUUUAGAUCAGAUUUUCCUGACUUACAUGUUAUUUUUCCCUGUACUUCUGCUUUUUUUAACCCUGAUGAUGUUAUUAUUUUUAAAAAUCAAUGUUUCCCAACACCAUCUGUUGAAGAGACUGUCUUUUCCACUGGGUAUUCUUUCCUGCUGUGUUGAAGAUUAAUUGCCCAUACUUGAAAGUUCAUUUCUGGGUUUUUCUAUUCUGUUUCAUUGAUCUAUGUGUCUGUUUUUAUCCUGGUAUCAUACUGUCUUGACAACUAUAGCUUUGUAAUGUAACUGGACAGUAGCAUGCAAAAAACUGAAAAUGGACCACUUUCUUACCCUAUAUAUACAAAAUAAAUUCAAAAUGGAUGAGAUACCUAAAUGUGAAAUAGGAAAUCAUAAAAGUCCUAGAGGAGAACAUAGCAAUAACCUCUUUGACAUUGGCCAUAGCAACAAUUUCUUACUAGACAUGUCUCAGGGGCAAGGGAAAUGAAAGCAAAAAUAAACUAAUGGGAUUACAUCCAUAUAAAAAGCUUCUGCACAGUAAAGGAAACAGUAAAACUAAAAGGCAACCCACAGAAUGGGAGAAGAUAUUUGCAAAUGACAUAUUUGAUAAAGGGUUAGUAUCAAAAUAUAUAAAGAACUUAUCAAAUUCAACACCCCAAAAACAAAUAAUCCCGUUAAAAAAUGGACAGAAGGGGAUCCCUGGGUGGCUCAGCGGUUUCGCACCUGCCUUUGGCCCAGGGUGUGAUCCUGGAGUCCCGGGAUCGGGUCCCGUGUCAGGCUCCCGGCAGGGAGCCUGCUUCUCCCUCUGCCUGUGUCUCUGCCUCUCUCUCUCUCUCUCUCUCUCUCUCUCUAUGUCUAUCAUAAAUAAAUAAAAAUAAAUCUUUAAAAAGUUGGACAGAAGACAUGAGUAAACAUUUCCCCAACGAAGACAUGUAGAUGGCCAAUAGACACGUGAACUCAACAUUACUCAUUAUCAGGAAAAUGCAAAUCAAAACCACAAUGAGAUACCACCUCACACCAGUCAGAAUGGCUAAAAUUAACAACACAGGAAACAACAGGUGUUGGCAAGCAUGCUGAGAAAAGAGAACCCUCUUGAACUCUUGGUAAGAAUGCAAACACCAGUGUAGCCACUCUGAAAAACAGUUUGGAGAUUCCUCAAAAAGUUAAAACUAGAACUUCCCUAUGAUCCAGCAAUUGCACUACUAGGUAUUUACCCAAAGCAUACAAAAAUACUGAUUCAAAGGAACACAUUCACCUCAAUGUUUAUAGCAACAUUAUCAACAAUAGCCAAAUUAUGGAAACAGCCCAAAUGUCCAACAGAUGAAUGGGUAAAUAAUAUGUGAGGCGUACACACACACACACACACACACACACACACUAGAAUAUUACUCAGCCAUCAAAAAGAAUGAAAUCUUGCCAUUUGCAACAACAUAGAUGGAGUUAGAUUAUGCUAAGCAAAAUAAGUCAGAUAAAGACAAAUACCAUAUGAUUUCACUCAUAUGUGGAAUUUAAGAAACAAAUGAACAUGGGGCGGGGAGAGCAAAACCAAGAAACAGACUCUUAACUAUAGAGAAUAAACAGGAUUACUGGAGAGGAGGUGGGUGGGAGUAUGGGUUAAGGAGGUGAUAGGGAUUAAGAAGGGCAGUUGUGAUGGGCACAGAGUGUCAUAUAUAAGUGAUGACUCACUAAAUUCUACACCUGAAACCAAUAUUACAUUGUCUGUUAACUGGAAUUUAAAUCAAAACUCAGAAAGAAAAAAAUCAGUUUGGUUAGAAUUACCUUCUUGAAUAAAAAUUAUUCUUUUUAGAUUUAGAGUUAUUUAUCCCAUCUUGCUUAUUCACCUCACAUUUCACAGACCUUCUGUUUACUUUCUUUCUACUUGAAGUUUCUCUUUUAAAAUGUUUUUUACUAAGGAUCUGUUUGUAACAAAUUCUCUCAGUUCUUUAACAUUUAAAAGUAUCUUUAGUUUGAAUUUGUUCUUAAAUAUUUUCAACAAAAUGGGAAUUUUAGGUUGAAACUUACUUUCUCUAUUCUCAUUCAACUUUUAUUGCUAGUAUUAAUAAGUCAGCUCUCAGUCUAAUAGCAUUCUUUUCACAGGCUUAUGGUUUUUUCUCUCUGGCUAGUUUUUAGGAUUUUCUUGGUCUUAUAUUCUGAUUUCACUAUUUAAUAUUUAAGUAUAGAUUUUCUGUUUAUCAUACUUGGUAUUUUUUGGGGUUCCUGAACUUAUAGAUUGGUAUCCUUUCUAAUUUCUGAAUAAUUCUAAGACAUUAUCUUUUAAAGUAUUGCUGCUUCGUUCACUCUGUCCUCACCUUCUGAAAACUAAUUAGGCCUCCUUCUUAAUCUAUCCUCCAUGUGUCUUAAUCACUAUCAUUUUUUCCUGUGCUAAGUGUAAAAUAAUCCCUUCAAAUUCAUCUUCAUAAUCUUCAUUUUGAGUAUAACAUUUUCCAUUUUUUAGAAAUUCCGUUGUUUUCCAUAUUGUUUGUUGUUUUAAAAAAUAAUCUCUUGCUCUUUAUAUUUUCAAUUCCUUCUUUUUAAAAAAUAUAGUAAACAUGAACAUUUUAUGUUAUGUUUAUGAUGAUCCUGAAGUCUGUGGAUCUGAUUCUACUAUCUGAUUUUAUGCUGGCUUUCAUAUAUGAUAUGUCAUUUCCUCAAGUGUUUUAUGAUUUUUUUUUUUACUAUGAGCUUAUAUGUUUUUGAACUCUAUCCGUGUGAAUUCUUUGAAGGCAUUCUAAGGAAUUUGUAUUUGCUUUGGUGAGACAUGUAACAGUAUUAACAGAUAGGACUGUCUUAUUUAUUUGACUUACUCUUAUGUUGCUUUGAAAUAAUAUUAACUUACAGAAAGACUGUAAGCACAGUACAAAGAACCUCUAGAAAUCCCACUAAAGCUUCACUAACUGUUCCCAAAAUGUUUUUUAUAGCAAAAAGAUUCUCGUGGUCAGAUUUCUUUUAUUGUCCUUCAAUAUAGAAGAAUUUCUUAAGUCCUUUUUGACUUUCAGGAUCUUGACAGUUUUGAACAAGGCAGGAGAGCUAUUUUGUAGAAUGUCUAUUGGUUUUUUUCUGAUGUUUCUUCAUAAUUAGAUUCAGUUAUGCAUCUUUGGCAGGAACAUAAAAAAAAUCAUUCUUGGAUUUUUAAAUUACAUCCCAUCAAGUAGCAUCCAUGCUGAUUUCUUACAUCAUUGGUGAAGUUAACCUCUGUCAUUUGAUUAAGGGAUCAGUUUUCUCACCAUUGAGAUUAAUAAGUAGUUUGUUCAGAGAUGUUUUGAGUACCUUUCAGCUUCAUGUCCACAUUUCAGUGCCUGCUUUGUAAAAUAGAACUUGAACCUGUAAACAUCUCUGUUUUGCCUGAUGAUACAAUGUUAAUCUUUGUCAGGACAGGUUGCUGGAGAGACACUGAAGAAAAAAACUGAUUUCUCUUCCUGGUUUUAGUAUGCUUUUCUCAGCAGGUUCUGUAGUAAAUGGCUUCUUCAAUAUGUGGCAGCCAACAGCAUUUAGUGAGCAUCAGCAUGUGGUAUCU
rnacentral:lncRNA from 1 species